rnacentral:misc_RNA from 2 species
CCGAGUGAGGGCCCUCUGGGUCCAACCUCCCACCCGUGUCUAUCGUACCUUGUUGCUUCGGCGGGCCCGCCGUUUCGACGGCCGCCGGGGAGGCCUUGCGCCCCCGGGCCCGCGCCCGCCGAAGACCCCAACAUGAACGCUGUUCUGAAAGUAUGCAGUCUGAGUUGAUUAUCGUAAUCAGUUAAAACUUUCAACAACGGAUCUCUUGGUUCCGGCAUCGAUGAAGAACGCAGCGAAAUGCGAUAAGUAAUGUGAAUUGCAGAAUUCAGUGAAUCAUCGAGUCUUUGAACGCACAUUGCGCCCCCUGGUAUUCCGGGGGGCAUGCCUGUCCGAGCGUCAUUGCUGCCCUCAAGCACGGCUUGUGUGUUGGGCCCCCGUCCCCCUCUCCCGGGGGACGGGCCCGAAAGGCAGCGGCGGCACCGCGUCCGGUCCUCGAGCGUAUGGGGCUUUGUCACCUGCUCUGUAGGCCCGGCCGGCGCCAGCCGACACCCAACUUUAUUUUUCUAAGG